GACGAACGCUGGCGGCGUGCCUAAUACAUGCAAGUAGAACGCUGAAGGAGGAGCUUGCUUCUCUGGAUGAGUUGCGAACGGGUGAGUAACGCGUAGGUAACCUGCCUGGUAGCGGGGGAUAACUAUUGGAAACGAUAGCUAAUACCGCAUAAGAGUAGAUGUUGCAUGACAUUUGCUUAAAAGGUGCAAUUGCAUCACUACCAGAUGGACCUGCGUUGUAUUAGCUAGUUGGUGGGGUAACGGCUCACCAAGGCGACGAUACAUAGCCGACCUGAGAGGGUGAUCGGCCACACUGGGACUGAGACACGGCCCAGACUCCUACGGGAGGCAGCAGUAGGGAAUCUUCGGCAAUGGACGGAAGUCUGACCGAGCAACGCCGCGUGAGUGAAGAAGGUUUUCGGAUCGUAAAGCUCUGUUGUAAGAGAAGAACGAGUGUAAGAGUGGAAAGUUCACACUGUGACGGUAUCUUACCAGAAAGGGACGGCUAACUACGUG
rnacentral:rRNA from 1 species